rnacentral:tRNA from 1 species
GUCUCUGUGGCGCAAUCGGUUAGCGCUCGGCUGUUAACUGAAAGGUUGGUGGUUCAAGCCCACCCAGGGACG